GUUGAACAAUCACUCCAGGGAUACAGAAUGUGAAAGUGUAUUGUGAGAACUGAACGCCUCUGAGAAGUUCAUUAGGAGGGCAGCUGUAGAACGGAUAAAGAACUCUGGCCUUAAAGAUGUGGGAUCAAUACAGCCAAGCUGAUGGACCAGCUCUCUAACCUUCAGCAAGUCAUGACUCCUCAGCUUCAUAAUUCAUACAAUAGGGCUAUUAAUCUCUAUCUACCAGAGCAAUGGAGAUUAAAAUGAAAUGACACAUGUCAGAGGUUCUAGCUCUGUUAUAAGGGAUAAAUAUGCUGAAUGCAUUUUUGCUUUGUUUCAAUGUAGUGCUAUAAAAACAAUUUUCUGGGAUAGUAUGGGCUGGAUAAUUUAAAAGAUCUCCCCUGAAGCACCUUAACUGUGAGAAAAGGUGACUUCAGGAAGGAAAUGUGAGUGGUGCCAUGACAUAUGCCCUUGUGAACCAGCCACUGAGAAGGAGAUGAGGGAACCACAUGAAAAAUGCUGUAAACAUGACUGCUACUGGCAGCUCUAGGUGGUAUAGCUGAUCUUAAUACAAAGGGACUUAGAAUGAACCUCAUACUCACUGCUGGUGAAAGCCAGUACCAUAUUUGAGCUGAAGUUUUUAAGAACAGAAUAUGAGAUACAAAUUAGUGGUGGCAAGAUGACAUCCAGAAUCCUACAAAACAGCAAAGUUAAAAGCAAAGUCCCUGGCAAGAUAGUGGAGCCCCUCCAUCUCUUUCCUUGUUCCCCAGCUGUGCCAGUGUUGUGCUUCCUGGGUGUAGAGGGCUCGAUACUUUCAGUCCCUGCCAAGCCCCAAAAGGGAAAAGACCUACCACCUAGGAACCCCUGCCCCUCAGCCUCAUCCUCUACAUGUUGAUCUUGUUUAUAGAAGGCUGAGGUAAGAAUUAUUGGGAUUCAGUAAGAGUUCUGAACUCCAGAAGGCCAUGGCCAGGGCAUAAUCACUUCAUCCUCCUUCUCCAUGCCCCCUAAGCGCAGACUGCCAUGAUACUCUUG
rnacentral:lncRNA from 1 species